rnacentral:rRNA from 1 species
ACACUCCUACGGGAGGCAGCAGUGGGGAAUAUUGGACAAUGGACGCAAGCCUGAUCCAGCCAUGCCGCGUGAGUGAUGAAGGCCCUAGGGUUGUAAAGCUCUUUCACCGGUGAAGAUAAUGACGGUAACCGGAGAAGAAGCCCCGGCUAACUUCGUGCCAGCAGCCGCGGUAAUACGAAGGGGGCUAGCGUUGUUCGGAUUUACUGGGCGUAAAGCGCACGUAGGCGGACUAUUAAGUCAGGGGUGAAAUCCCGGGGCUCAACCCCGGAACUGCCUUUGAUACUGGUAGUCUUGAGUUCGAGAGAGGUGAGUGGAAUUCCGAGUGUAGAGGUGAAAUUCGUAGAUAUUCGGAGGAACACCAGUGGCGAAGGCGGCUCACUGGCUCGAUACUGACGCUGAGGUGCGAAAGCGUGGGGAGCAAACAGGAUUAGAAACCCCUGUAGUCCCAUGA